UACGUAGGGGGCUAGCGUUGUCCGGAAUCAUUGGGCGUAAAGCGCGUGUAGGCGGCCCGGUAAGUCCGCUGUGAAAGUCGGGGGCUCAACCCUCGAAAGCCGGUGGAUACUGUCGGGCUAGAGUACGGAAGAGGCGAGUGGAAUUCCUGGUGUAGCGGUGAAAUGCGCAGAUAUCAGGAGGAACACCGGUGGCGAAAGGCGGCUUCCGUGGACCGAUACUGACGCUGGAGGCGCGAAAGCUAGGGGAGCAAACGGG
rnacentral:rRNA from 1 species